rnacentral:snRNA from 1 species
AUCACUUCUCAGCCUUUUGGCUAAGAUGAAGUGUAGUAUCUGUUCUUAUCAGUUUAAAUAGACCAUUUUCUAUCAAUACCAUAAUCACAUUCUCUUCUCAUCAUUCUUU